rnacentral:rRNA from 1 species
UGGCGGACGGGUGAGUAACGCGUGAGAAUCUGCCUUGGGGUCGGGGACAACCACUGGAAACGGUGGCUAAUACCGGAUAAGCCUUUGGGUAAAAAAUUUAUUGCCCCAAGAGGAGCUCGCGUCUGAUUAGCUAGUUGGUGAGGUAAAAGCUCACCAAGGCAGCGAUCAGUAGCUGGUCUGAGAGGACGAUCAGCCACACUGGGACUGAGACACGGCCCAGACUCCUACGGGAGGCAGCAGUGGGGAAUUUUCCGCAAUGGGCGAAAGCCUGACGGAGCAAGACCGCGUGAGGGAGGAAGGCUCUUGGGUUGUAAACCUCUUUUCUCAGGGAAGAAGCUCUGACGGUACCUGAGGAAUCAGCCUCGGCUAACUCCGUGCCAGCAGCCGCGGUAAUACGGAGGAGGCAAGCGUUAUCCGGAAUUAUUGGGCGUAAAGCGUCCGCAGGUGGCGAUUCAAGUCUGCUGUCAAAGCACGGGGCUUAACUCCGUUAAGGCAGUGGAAACUGAAUAGCUAGAGUGCCGUAGGGGUAGAGGGAAUUCCCGGUGUAGCGGUGAAGUGCGUAGAGAUCGGGAAGAACAUCGGUGGCGAAAGCGCUCUACUGGACGGCAACUGACACUCAGGGACGAAAGCUAGGGGAGCGAAUGGGAUUAGAUACCCCAGUAGUCCUAGCUGUAAACGAUGGAUACUAGGUGUAGCUUGUAUCGACCCGAGCUGUGCCGAAGCUAACGCGUUAAGUAUCCCGCCUGGGGAGUACGCACGCAAGUGUGAAACUCAAAGGAAUUGACGGGGGCCCGCACAAGCGGUGGA